CCUCUCUCUUCUUUCCUACCCAACAUCACUCACCAUCUCUGUCAUCCUAAACCUCCCAAUCAUUGCCCUAACAGUCAUGGUUGUGCUGCUCGGUCGCCUUAGAAAAUUAUACGACAACAACCUUCCCUACCCCACAUCUACACCAAAGUCAAGUUGAACCCUUCUCGGGUUUAUUCACCUUCUUCCCUACCCAACAUCACUCACCAUCUCUGUCAUCCUAAACCUCCCAAUUGUUGCCCUAACAGUCAUGGUUGUGCUGCUCGGUCGCCUUAGAAAAUUAUACGACAACAACCUUCCCCACCCCACAUCUGCACCAAAGUCAAGUUGAACCCUUCUCGGGUUUAUUCACCUUCUUCCCUACCCAACAUCAUUCACCAUCUCUGUCAUCCUAAACCUCCUAAUUGUUGCCCUAACAGUCAUGGUUGUGCUGCUCGGUCGCCUUAGAAAAUUAUACGACAACAACCUUCCCCACCCCGCAUCUACACCAAAGUCAAGUUGAACCCUUCUCGGGUUUAUUCACCUUCUUCCCUACCCAACAUCACUCACCAUCUCUGUCAUCCUAAACCUCCCAAUUGUUGCCCUAACAGUCAUGGUUGUGCUGCUCGGUCGCCUUAGAAAAUUAUACGACAACAACCUUCCCCACCCCCACAUCUACACCAAAGUCAAGUUGAACCAUUCUCGGGUUUAUUCACCUUCUUCCCUACCCAACAUCACUCACCAUCUCUGUCAUCCUAAACCUCCCCAAUCGUUGCCCUAACAGUCAUGGUUGUGCUGCUCAGUCGCCUUAGAAAAUUAUACGACAACAAC
rnacentral:lncRNA from 1 species